rnacentral:rRNA from 1 species
UACGGGGGGGGCAAGCGUUGUUCGGAAUUACUGGGCGUAAAGGGCUCGUAGGCGCCAACUAAGUCAGACGUGAAAUCCCUCGGCUUAACCGGGGAACUGCGUCUGAUACUGGAUGGCUUGAGUUUGGGAGAGGGAUGCGGAAUUCCAGGUGUAGCGGUGAAAUGCGUAGAUAUCUGGAGGAACACCGGUGGCGAAGGCGGCAUCCUGGACCAAUAUUGACGCUGAGGAGCGAAAGCCAGGGGAGCAAACGGGG